GGGGCGGUCUCCUCCCAAAGCGUAACGGAGGAGUUCGAAGGUACGCUAGUUACGGUCGGACAUCGUGAUGAUAGUGCAAUGGCAUAAGCGUGCUUAACUGCGAGACUGACAAGUCGAGCAGAUGCGAAAGCAGGACAUAGUGAUCCGGUGGUUCUGUAUGGAAGGGCCAUCGCUCAACGGAUAAAAGGUACUCUGGGGAUAACAGGCUGAUACCGCCCAAGAGUUCAUAUCGACGGCGGUGUUUGGCACCUCGAUGUCGGCUCAUCUCAUCCUGGGGCUGUAGCCGGUCCCAAGGGUAUGGCUGUUCGCCAUUUAAAGAGGUACGUGAGCUGGGUUUAAAACGUCGUGAGACAGUUUGGUCCCUAUCUUCCGUGGGCGCUGCAGAUUUGAGGAAGCCUGCUCCUAGUACGAGAGGACCGGAGUGGACACACCUCUGGUGUAUCGGUUGUCACGCCAGUGGCAUUGCCGAGUAGCUAAGUGUGGAAGAGAUAACCGCUGAAAGCAUCUAAGCGGGAAACUCGUUUCAAGAUGAGAUCUGCCGGGGCCUUGAGCCCCCUGAAGAGUCGUUCAAGACCAGGACGUUGAUAGGUCGGGUGUGGAAGCGCAGUAAUGCGUUAAGCUAACCGAUACUAAUUGCUCGUGCGGCUUGACCCUAUAA
rnacentral:rRNA from 1 species